rnacentral:tRNA from 1 species
GAUCGGUUAGCUCAGUUGGCAGAGCGCCACGUUGACAUCGUGGAGGUCAUUGGUUCGAGCCCAAUACCGAUCACCA